ACCCGUUUGAGUGUCGUGAAAAUCUCAACCUCCUUGGUUUCUUUUGAACGCCAAAGGAGGCUUGGACUUUGGAGGGCUUUGCUGGACUGGAAAGGCCAGCUCCUCUCAAAUGAAUUAGCGAGGUUCCCUUUGCCGAUCCUCGACGUGUGAUAAGAUGCUUCCACGUCUCGGUCUUUGGCUCUGUCGCCUUUUGGGACCUGCUUCCAAUCGUCUCUCGACGAGACAAUGUUCGAGCUUGCCUCGACCACGUACCCUUGACCUCAAAUCGGGUGAGACUACCCGCUGAACUUAAGCAUAUCAAU
rnacentral:rRNA from 1 species